rnacentral:lncRNA from 1 species
UUUGGGGACCCCCCCCGGAUCGGGGCUGAUUUUGGGGAUCCCCCCUGGAUUGGGGCUGAUUUUGGGGACCCCCCCGGGGUCGGGGCUGAUUUUGGGGACCCCCCGGGGUCGGGGCUGAUUUUGGGGACCCCCCCCGGGGUCGGGGCUGAUUUUGGGGACCCCCCGGGAUCAUGGCUGAUUUUGGGGACCCCCCCCCGUGCCCCCCGGGAUCAUGGCUGAUUUUGGGGACCCCCCGGGGAUCGGGGCUGAUUUUGGGGACCCCCCCCGGGGUCGGGGCUGAUUUUGGGGACCCCCUGGCAGCGGGAGUCGUCGCGGCGCCUGGCGGAGACGCGGGCGCUGCUCCGGCGCAGCCGCGCGGCCGCCGAGGAGGCGCGGCGCAAGGAGAGCCUGCACGGCCAGCUGGUGGCCGAGCUGGCGGCGCUGCCCCGCGACGUUUCCCGCUCCGUUUACACCCAGCGCAUCCUGGAGAUCGUCGGCAACAUCCGCAAGCAGAAGGAGGAGAUCGGCAAGGUUUGGGGGGGAGGAGGAUUUUGGGGGGGCUCUGCGCACCCCCAAAUUAUCAGAGGGGGUUUUUUGGGGGGGAGGGGGUCGUGACCUCUCCCGGGGAUCCCCCAACCCCAGAUCCUGGAGGACACGCGGGCGCUGCAGAAGGAGAUCAACGCCCUGGUGGGGAAGCUGGAGAGGACCUUCAGCGUCACCGACGAGCUGCUCUUCAAGGUGGGGGGCUGGGGGGGGCACCCCAAAAAAAUAAAGCACCGGGGGGGGGGGGGGGGGGGGUCCGGCUGGGAUUUUGGGGGGCACGGGCUGGGGGAGGGGGGAGUUCAGUGGUACGGCCCGGACGGGAUGGCCCCGAAGGGGUGAGGGGGUGGGAGACCCCCAGAGUGUCACGGGUGCCCCCCAGAGUGUCACGGGUGCCCCCCAAAUUGUCACGGGUGCCCCCAGAUUGUCACGGGUGCCCCCCAAAUUGUCAUGUGUGCCCCCCAAAUUGUCAUGUGUGCCCCCCAAAUUGUCAUGUGUGCCCCCAAACUCUCCCUGCCCCCCAAACUCUCCCUGUGCCCCCCAGUGUCCCUGUA